rnacentral:rRNA from 1 species
GUGGGGAAUAUUGCACAAUGGGGGAAACCCUGAUGCAGCGACGCCGCGUGAGUGAAGAAGUAUUUCGGUACGUAAAGCUCUAUCAGCAAGGAAGAAAAUGACGGUACUUGACUAAGAAGCCCCGGCUAACUACGUGCCAGCAGCCGCGGUAAUACGUAGGGGGCAAGCGUUAUCCGGAUUUACUGGGUGUAAAGGGAGCGUAGACGGUAUGGUAAGUCAGAUGUGAAAGCCCGGGGCUCAACCCCGGGACUGCAUUUGAAACUAUCAGACUAGAAUGCAGGAGAGGUAAGUGGAAUUCCUAGUGUAGCGGUGAAAUGCGUAGAUAUUAGGAGGAACACCAGUGGCGAAGGCGGCUUACUGGACUGUAACUGACGUUGAGGCUCGAAAGCGUGGGGAACAAACAGGAUUAGAUACCCUGGUAGUCC